rnacentral:sRNA from 1 species
AGCAGCCGCGGUAAUUCCAGCUCCAAUAGCGUAUAUUAAAGUUGUUGCAGUUAAAAAGCUCGUAGUUGAAUUUCGGGGUUAGUAGGUUGGUCAUGCCUCUGGUAUGUACUGGUCUCACUGAUUCCUCCUUCCUGAUGAGCCGUAAUGCCAUUAAUUUGGUGUUGCGGGGAAUUUGGACUGUUACUUUGAAAAAAUUAGAGUGUUUAAAGCAAGCUAACGCUUGAAUACAUUAGCAUGGAAUAAUGAAAUAGGACGUUCGAUCCUAUUUUGUUGGUUUCUAGGAUUGACGUAAUGAUUAAUAGGGAUAGUUGGGGGCAUUAGUAUUCAAUUGUCAGAGGUGAAAUUCUUGGAUUUAUUGAAGACUAACUACUGCGAAAGCAUUUGCCAAGGAUGUUUUCAUUAAUCAAGAACGAAAGUUAGGGGAUCGAAGACGAUCAGAUACCGUCGUAGUCUUAACCAUAAACUAUGCCGACUAGGGAUCGGAUGAU